rnacentral:tRNA from 1 species
AUUUAAUUAGUUUAAAUAAAACAUAAUAUUGAAAAUAUUAAAUUGAUUAAUUAAUCAUUAAAUA